GGGGUCGUAGCUCAAAUGGUAGAGCGCCCGCUUAGCAUGCGAUGCUGAGCGCCGCAGAUGAUAUGCGGGAGGUAGGGGGAUCGAUGCCCUCCGACUCCA
rfam:Volvox carteri f. nagariensis unplaced genomic scaffold VOLCAscaffold_112, whole genome shotgun sequence.